UGUACGCUAGUGUAAGGCUAGCAUUCUUGUUUCGAAAACAAAGAGGUGUGAGUUCGAGACCCACGCGUGCGG
rnacentral:tRNA from 1 species